UUUACUUUUGAGAUCAUAAGGUUCAGAGUGAUAUAAGGUGACAAAAUGUGAAACAUCUAUUGAUAUCAAUUCCGAUAGCACAAAUAACAACUCAUGGACAAGACAUAACUCAAGCUUAUAUGGGAGAUUACAUAAGCUUAAGAGCUCACAACCACAAAGGGAAUCAUGGCUACAUAAGCGUAAGACCUCACGACCACAAAAGAAAUUAUGGUUACAUGAGCUUAAAAUGCUAUGAUAACAUUAAAAGAGAGUAAGACUUAAUCCAAGAGGGAGUUCAUGGCCAUAUGAGAGCUUCCAUAGAAGCUCAAGGCCAUAUGGGGAAUUACGUGAGGGCUCACAGCUUCAUAGGAGAUCAAGGUGAAACUUAUAGUCUUAUGAGCUUAAAAGGCCAUGGUUUAGGCCUCAUGAUUAAUGGAACUCGUUGGAAGGUCCAUACACUCAAAGAUCUAUACGGUAAGGUCCAUUUAAGUGGGUCUCAAGAUCCAAUUCAAAAAAAGUAAAGUCCAUAUGGGGAAAAUCCUAUAAUGAAUCCACUUUAAGGUGCAUUUGGACUUUAAGGAUGGAGUAUCACAAGAACAUGGGCAAUAAACUCAAGAGAGAUUUUCAAGUGUCUGUUAAAGGAUGGAUUCAUGAAGAAUGGAGUAU
rnacentral:lncRNA from 1 species